GACGAACGCUGCCGGCGUGCCUAAUACAUGCAAGUAGAACGCACAGGAUGCACCCGUAGUUACCUACCCGUAUUCUGUGAGUUGCGAACGGGUGAGUAACGCGUAGGUAACCUGCCUGGUAGCGGGGGAUAACUAUUGGAAACGAUAGCUAAUACCGCAUAAGAACAUUUACUGCAUGGUAGAUGUUUAAAAGGUGCAAAUGCAUCACUACCAGAUGGACCUGCGUUGUAUUAGCCAGUAGGUGAGGUAACGGCUCACCUAGGCGACGAUACAUAGCCGACCUGAGAGGGUGAUCGGCCACACUGGGACUGAGACACGGCCCAGACUCCUACGGGAGGCAGCAGUAGGGAAUCUUCGGCAAUGGGGGGAACCCUGGCCGAGCAACGCCGCGUGAGUGAAGAAGGUUUUCGGAUCGUAAAGCUCUGUUGUUAAGGAAGAACGAGUGUGAGAAUGGAAAGUUCAUACUGUGACGGUACUUAACCAGAAAGGACGGCUACUCACAGU
rnacentral:rRNA from 1 species